GACAAAAGAUCUGAAUAGAUACUUUACAGAGAGAUAUAUUAAUGGUCAUAUGAAAAGAUGCUCAACAUCUUUAGUCAUCAGAAAAAUAUAAAUUAAAACCACAAUGAGGUAUCGCUACAUACCUACUAAAAUGGCUAAAAUGAGAAAGACCGAUGAUACCAAGUGUUGACUAGGAUUUGAAGUAACUGGAACUCUCAUACAUUGCUGGUAUGAGGGGGAAAGGGUACAACCACUUUGGAAAACAGUUUGGCAGUUUCUUAUAAAGUUCAAGAUAUACACUUAUCACACGAUCCAGUAAUUCUACUCCUAAAGAAAUACAAACAAAUGUCCAUAAAAAGACUCUACACACAUGUUCAUAACAGCUUUAUUCAUAAUAGCUCCAAACUGGAAACAACCCCAAUUCCGUAAACGUGUGAAUGGAAAAACAAAUUGUGGCAUAGUCACACAAUGACAUAGUACUCAGCAACGAAAAGGAAUGAAUUACUGAUACAAUAAUAUGCGUGAAUCUCAAAAACAUUAGAGUACGUGACAGCAGCUAGACACAAAAGACUACAAGCUGCAUGAUUCCAUUUACAAGAAUAUCUAAAAUAGGUAAAACCCUCCUCUAAUAACAGAAACCAGAUCAGUGUUUUCCUGGGGUGGUGGUUGUUGGGGAUGGGGACUGCCUGCAAAGAGGCAGGAGGAAAAUAUUUUUGAGUGAUGAGAAUAGUCUAUGUCUUGAUUAGGAGGGAGGUUACAUAAGCAGAUAUAUUUGUAAAAAACUCAGGGAAAUGGCUGCUUUUUAUUGUAUACAGAGCUGAUUUUUAAAAGAGGAAAUACAGAAGAGAAAACAUGAUUGUCAACUGAUUGGUCCACGAUCAUACAAAAAUAUAUUAGACCCUAUUAAAAUUUAACUACAAUGAGAUACCAUUUUAUACUCACCAUUUUGGCAAACGUAUAAAAAGUCUGAAAAUAUCAAGAAUUCAUGAGGGUGUAGGUCAAUGUGGGAGCGCAAAUUAGAGCAUCCACUUUGGAAAAUAAUUUGGCACUACCUAGAAAGUUGAAAAUGUACCUACCCUACCACUCAGCAACUGUGCUUCUGUGUACAUUCCCCAAAGGAACUUUGUGCAUACACACAAAAAUAUUGGGAGCACCUUUGUAAUAGUUUGUGAUAGUAAAAACUGGAAGCUAUUUUAAGCAUCUAACAUAAAGAGAACAUGUGUAAACUGCAGUAUAAUUGUGUACUAGGAUGCUACACAGCAGUGAACCUGGCUGCAUUACUACAAUUACUGGUUGCACUACAUACAACAUGCAUGUCACCAAUAUUAAGCAAUAAAAAGAGCAAGUCACAGAAGUAUAUAUACAGUAUAUUCUAGGUCUUAUAGUUUGAAAUCAAGCAAAACAUUAAAAAUAAUAUACAAAUAUAUGAGGCAAAACUAAAAGAAAAGCGAAACAAGACAAACUCAAAGUUCAGUAUAGCAGUUUUCUCUGAGAGAGAGGGAGAUGGAAUGAGACCAGGCAAAAAAUGAGCUUCAAAGUUAUGACGUCAUUUUUCUUACACUAAGUGGUAAGUAUAUGAAGGUUCAACUUGUCAGUAAUCUCUAAACCACACAUGUACUUUAUAUGUACUCGUCUGUAUGCAGAGAUAUUUCAUAAUAAAAAUUUUAAAGGAAUUUUUUUAAAGGCAAAUAUUGUCACAUUGGGCUAAACACUAUAAUUCAACCAUAUGUCUCACACAACAGACACACCAAAAACAAAAUAACACAGAAAGGUUAAAAAUAAAGGGAUGGGAAAAAUUAUACCAGACAAACACAAACAAAAAAAGACACGAGUAACGAUGCUAAUGUAAGAUAAACUAAAACUCAAGGCAAAAAACACAAAUAACUUAGAGUGUUCUUUUAUACAUAGAUAUAUGUAAUCCAUGAUGGAAAUAUUAUCAGCCGCAAACCAUAAUGAGAUAAAUAGCAUAGCCUCAAAAUAUACAAAGCAAAUAAUGACAGAAAUAACCAAAGAAAGUGACUGAGGCAUAAUUUUUUAUUUUAUUUUUUGUUUUUAAUUUCAUACAGUAAAAUUAAAUCUUCUGGGUGAACAGUUUUAUGAGUUUUGACAAAUGCAUAAAAUCGUGUAACCACCACCACAAUCAAGGUACAGAACAGUUCUGUCACCCUCAAAAAUGCCCUCCUGCUGCCCCUUUGUAGUCAAAUGCUCCCCACACCCCCCGUCUCUGGAAACUCUUUGAUCUGUUCUCCAUCCUUACAGUUUUGUCUUUCUAGAAUGUCAUACAAAUGGAAUCAUACCAUCUUUGGAGUCUGACGCCUUUCACUCAGCAUAAUGCCUCUGAGAUUCUUCUGAGUGUUGUACGUAUCAACAGUUCAUUCUAUUUCAUUGUUACAUAGCAUUCAAUCGUCUGGAUGUACCACAACUGCUUAUCAUUCACCCAAUGAAGGGCUUUCGGGGGGUCCAGUUUGGGGAAUUAUGAAUAAUGUUAUUAUAAACAUUUCUGUACUGGAUUUGCGUGAACAUAAAUUUUCAUGUCUCUUGGUUAAACGCCCAGGAACUGCUAGGUCAUAUGGUUAAGUGCACAUUUAACUUUAUAAGAAAGUGUCCAACUUCUUUUCCAAAAUGGUUGCGCUAUUUUGCAUUUCCAAACAGUAAUGGAGCAAAGUUCUUGUUGCUUUGCAUCUUCACCCGCAUUUGGUAUUUGAAGCAUAAUCUUAACACAUCACUAUCAAUCAACGUCAGUGCAUACAUUCCCAAUCAAGUAUAAAAUAUACAGAGAUUUGGACAAUAUAAUCACAACACAACUAAGGCUGAAUUAAUAUAUAUUUCAUGUCUAUAUUUGCACCUGAUACUGAAAACAUCUUCAUUUCAAGAAUCUAUGGAAUAUUUAUAAAAAUAGGUCAUAUUCUAGGCCAUGAAGAAAAUGUUAAUACCUUUCCCAAUGCAGAAACUGUACCACAGUGUAAUAAAUGUUGACAUUAAUAACAAAGUUUAAAUAAUAAUAAAAAUAAGCAUAGAAGUUACAAAACACUUGCCAAAACAAUUACUGCUUUGGACAAAAGAGGAAUUUUUAAAUUUAACUAAAAACUAUGUAGAAAAUAAUGAAAAUAAGAGACAACCACAAACUCAUAGGUUGAAAUGGUUUCUUUAUUACAAAAAACAAUACAUUUUUCUUAUUAAGAAGAAAAAAGGGAAAGAAUCCCCAAGGGAAACAUACGAAGGAAAUAAAAGAUAAGCAGAGAUUGUGAUUGCUUACUGUUCCCUCUCCCGGUAAAUCAAGCUCUUACAGGGCAGAGCCACAUUCCUAUCCGCUAGUGAAAAGUGUGCCUGGCUCAGAGUAUGAACCCAAUACUUACAAGCACUUUUCGCUUUCUCUAAGUUAGGCCUUCUCUCCUUUGGGCUUCCACAGUAGGCUAUUCAUAGCUCUAUUUUAGCAUUUAUCAAAGUACUGCGAUCACGUAAGUUUUCCACAUCACACAAACCCUUUAGAAACAACUAUUUGUUUACCACUCAGAAUGUGCCAAGCGAUUGACAUUCAUUCAUUUAAUCCUUACAACUUUUUUAGAUAUUCCUAUUUUUCAGAAAUUGACGCUCAGAAAGGUUAAGUGAUCACGGUCAUAGAUGGAAUUCAUCACAAAUACAGGAUUUGGUUGCACAUCGGAUUACUUUCAAACACAAGCUCUUUCCAUCAGAAGAGGUUACUUCGAACUCAGGGGCAAGGUUAAUUUUGUUCACUUUUAUAUCCUCAGCUCCUAGCCUAAGCUCCUGACACAGAAUAUCUUAAACAAGGUAGGCAUUACUUGCGUCCUGCUGUUUAUGAAAUUUUGUUCUGUGUACUGGAAAGAAAUGCACUAAACUCAAGCCGGCAAUAGAGAUUUGGAAAAACACGCAAGGCACUGUACGACUCUCAGUCGUUCCUAGAGUCCCAUCUCUAUGGUUAGCAAUGUGACCGCUCUAUAGCCUGGAGGACUCAGAGAGCACGGCCAAUCAUUAGGCCACUUUACAGGCACGUGGCCGGAAGUUCGACUUGCUAUUGGUUAAUAGCGAUAAAGCCCGCCCAACCACAUCCUGCCUACGCCUUUAAGUAGGAGCCGGGCGCGUCGUCCCGCCUUUCGGAGACUGUGAAGCCGGAAAGAUCCCGGCCGGACUGAGGACGUCGGAUAUCACUGUUUUCUCAGCCCUUGGACCUUCCCCCAAAGCUUCUCAAUAAAAUGGUUUGAUCCCAU